GGUUCGUAGCUCAAUUGGUAGAGCAUCCGGCUGUUAACCGGAGGGUUGGCGGUUCGAGUCCGUCCGUUCCAGCCA
rnacentral:tRNA from 2 species